GUCCUGGCAGUAAAACGGUGCACGUUUGGUGUGGGCGCAAUCGACCGCGUCCGCGCCGGAGCUAACGCGUUAAACGUGCCGCCUGGGAAGUACGGUCGCAAGAUUAAAACUCAAAGAAAUUGACGGGGACCCGCACAAGCGGUGGAGUAUGUGGCUUAAUUCGAUGCAACGCGAAGAACCUUACCUGGUCUUGACAUGCAUUGUGUCUCCGGUGAAAGCCGGAUAGGGUAGCAAUACCCGCUUUGCACAGGUGCUGCAUGGCUGUCGU
rnacentral:rRNA from 1 species